rnacentral:rRNA from 1 species
UACGAAGGGUGCAAGCGUUAAUCGGAAUUACUGGGCGUAAAGCGUGCGUAGGUGGUCUUUUAAGUCCGUUGUGAAAGCCCUGGGCUCAACCUGGGAAUGGCAGUGGAUACUGGAAGGCUGGAGUACGGUAGAGGAGGGUGGAAUUCCCGGUGUAGCGGUGAAAUGCGUAGAGAUCGGGAGGAACAUCAGUGGCGAAGGCGGCCCUCUGGACCAGUACUGACGCUGAGGCACGAAGGCCAGGGGAGCAAACGGG